AGGCGGCGCUCCAUGCGAGUUGUGGCCACCGCAGUACCCCAGCAAAGGCGGGGAUCUGAUGGGUCAGGUCUCGGCGCUGGACGGAAGGCUGCUGCUCUGGUGAAGCGUCUGGCCGCCGAGCAGAGGAAUCAAGACCUGCUCAUUCUUUCCUCGGGGGAUCCAUCCAGCAAUGACAUCAUCUCAUGCUGCCACAAGGACCCCAAGUCUGGGCUGCUGGGGACCAGCCACGCUCCCCACUGCUCAUUCCUUCAUCCUAGAGACAUUCUGACUCUCCUCCGACUGCGCUGUGCACAGGUGUGACAAGCUCUUUUACAUCUCAGUCUGCACAACUUCAGGCACUUAGCAGAUUGAUAUGCAUCCAACAAAUAUUGAUUGAAUAUCUGCUAAAUACCCAGUAAUGUUUCAUGAGUGAUUGGGUGAAUAAAGGAAUGCUGGUUC
ensembl:lncRNA LINC01874 long intergenic non-protein coding RNA 1874